UUCUCCAGCACAGCCACCAGCUCCAAGAGCUUUUUCCUCUCUGCUUCAGCAGCCUGGCACUGAGUCCUUUGCAUUUUGAUCUGUCCCAGCAGCGCCUCCCGGCUCGAGCCGUCCGUGCCAGCAGACCUGAGGAAAGCACAAGCACAGAGAGCCUGGUUCCCACUCCUGAAAUGAAAGGAAUGAAACAAAGCAGCAUUUGAGCACUAUCUCCAAUACACUUGUCUGAAGCUUUAAGAAAUCUGCUUUGUGAAAACUCUCAGGAAGAUCUGUCAUGUUCAUUGCUGCAAGAGGAGGAGCCAGCUGAUAACACUGGAGUUAUCACUGCCAGCCUGGAUGAGUUUUAUGGAUGAUGACAUGUACUUGGGACACCCCAUUUCAGGAGCUGCGAAUCUUCAGCAAGUUCUUCUCUUGGACUGACAACUUCCUUGGAUCAGGAAAUGCCAGCAAUC